CUAAUGUUAAAUAUUCUGAAUGUUCCACUUUUCUUUUUAAUUUUGCCAUUCUUGUGUUCUUUCAUCUCUGCUGUUCUCUAGAAUUCUAUUUCCUCUUCGCGUAUAGCACAUUGAUGCUUUCUAAUGUUUAAGUUUUAGUGUUCUCAUUUCUGGUUUUCUUACAUUUUAUGUUUCGCAGGACUAGAUUUCACCCAUGUUUUAACAACUUAUCGUGUCUACGUUUUUUAAAUGUGACACUGGCUUGUCUUUUGUGGUUUUGUUGAUUUUUUUUUUUUUUUUUUUUUGACAAGCAAGAGAGAAAUAUAUUAUAACCUGAAAACUGGUUACAACCUAGACAAUGCAACCAGGCAAAGAGCCAAGGAAACACUGCCACACACAGCAAAGUCUCAACACACUGAGACUGAACAGCCCUAGAGCUAACUAUAAAGCAUACAACCAGCUCUUAUCUAACUCAUUAAGUCUAUCUUGACACAGCUGAAUAGCUGUAUGUUUAACACUAUACUUCAAAGAUUGAAUGACAAUAGCAGCAGUUGGCACUGCCCCUUCCCAAACUGAAGUAUUCCUAGCUCUCCAAAUUGCAUAAACCAAACCUGCAACAGCAGCAAAGAUGAUCUUUCUUUUAAAGGCACUCUUGCAGUAUCUUCUAGUCCAAUUCAGAACCUGAAGAACAUUCUUCCUGGUGCACAAGACAGACCUAACCAGUCUGUAAUUUCAAUCAAGCAUCCAAGAUUGUAGAAGCAGUCAAAGAAAAGAUGAGUACUGGUCUCUGGGGGCAGAACUACAAAUGGCACACAGAUGAUCAGUGCUUAUGCCAUAUUGAUGAAGUCUACUCUUGGUUUUGUGCCUAUCCAACAAAGCUAACCACAGGGAGAACCUAUGUUUAGGGACAGACAGUCUGUUCCAAAUAUACCUGGCCCAUUGGGUUCUUUCUGAUGGAGUGCAAAGCUUGAUGUACAUACUCUUAAUAGAGUAUUUAGCAGCAGUGAGCCAGCUAGGACCAUUAAGCUUUUCAGUACACAUCCCUUUGACCUUGCAAAUGUGCUUCACAGGCCAACUAGCAGUUAGGGAUGGAGAGAACAGCUGCCAAUUCUUGUUCUUUACAUACAGAGCAUGUAUCCACUUCACCCAUAAGUUAUCUUGUUUUUGCUCAAUUGCCCAAGCCAACUUUCCCAUAGCUGCUUGAUUCCAUAAAGCUAAAUUUCUGAACCCUAGACCACCUUGCUCCUUAUAAUCACAAAGUUUGUCCCAGUUUACACUACCAGGUCUACCAUCACCAUAUACUCCAAACCACAGGUAUGAUCUACAAAUGGCAUUGAUUUUCUUGAUGAUAAUGUUAGGGAGGAGAAACAGCCGACACCAAUACACACUUAUGCUCAUGAGAACUGAAUUCACCAGUUGCAUUCUCCCUACAAAAGACAGAUGUCUUGAGCUCCAAACUUUAAUCCUAGCCACCAUCUUCUCCACCAACAAAUUGUAAUCACCCAGCUGAAUUUUCUUGGGGCUAAUGGGAACCCCUAGGUAUCUGAAGGGGAAAUUAUCAAUAUUGUAGCCAGAUAGACCAGUGAUGAUGUUUUUGGUGUGAGCUGACAACCCACAACAGUAGAUAGAAGAUUUACUAGGAUUAACCUCUAAACCAGUAGAAGAAGAGAACAGCUUGAGACCCUCCAACAUAAGCUGAAAGGAAGUUACAUCUCCAUUACAGAAGAGCAAGAGGUCAUCUGCAAAAUAUAAGUGGUUGAGAUUGACUGUCUUACAUCUUGAGUGGUGUUUGAAAUUGUGAUGAGAGGCAACCAGCUUCAUAAUUCUUGAAAAGUACUCCAUACAGAGAGUGAAUAAGAGGGGGGAAAGGGGGUCCCCCUGUCUUAAACCUCUUUUAGGUUGAAUGAGGGGUGAAGGAACACCAUUUAUGAGGAGAGAAUACUGAGUGGUGGUCAAACAAGUCAUAACCAACUGGAUAAAGUGAUGAGGAAAGCCAAACUCCUUCAUGACUUCCUCUAUGAAUGCCCACUCUACAGGGUCAUAGGCCUUAUUGAGGUCCAAUUUCAUCCUGCAACUAGGUUUGGCAUUGCCUCUAGUAUAGGACUUGAUGAUAUCUUGGCAAAUCAUCAAAUUAUGCAAGAUUGAUCUUCCUGCAACAAAGGCUCCCUGAGUGGGUGACAUGAUAUCUGGUAGCACUUGUUUAAGCUUGUCACACAUCAAUUUUGAGAUGCAUUUAAUAAUUACUGAGCAAUAGGCAAUUGGUCUAAAGUUACCAACAUAGUUUGGGACUGUAACUUUAGGAACAAGAGAAAUAGAAGUGACAUUCACUUCCUUGAGAAUCUUUCCUGUGGUGAAGAAGUCUUAAAUAGCUAGGCACAAGUCAUCUUUUAUGAUGGGACAGGAAGCUUUGAAAAACCUGCUAUUGAAACCAUCCAACCCAGGUGCCUUAUUGUUUGGAAUUGCAUUAAGCACUCUCCUAAUAUCCUUCUCCUGUAGUAGUAGAGAGGCUAGCUAGAUGCUCUGUAGCGAGCCUUGGACCUUGGUCUAUCACCACUGCUUUUACUGGGUCCUGGUAUUCAGGGAAUCACCAAAGAGAGUACUGUAGAACUGAGUGAAGGCUUGCUGCACCCCAUCACUAGUUUGGAUCCAAUUACCCUCCUGAUCAUGGAUCUUAUUUGGUCUCCUUCUGUGUUUAAUACUCAUGUGAAACAGUCUGGUAUUUUCAUCCCCCAACUGGAGCCAUUGUAACUUGGUUGUUUGCUGAAGGAAAGAAAGAUAGUUGUGAUGAGUAAUUCUAUAAGCCUCAUUUGCAGCUUUCUCCACUGAGGCUAGAACACUGUCCAUAGGGGCAGCAUGAAGUGCAUUUUGUGCAAGCACAAGGUCAUUGUGUGUUUUGAUAGCAGUAGCCUCAACUGAGCUGAAACCAUUCUUGUUUAGUAGUUUCAAGUCAGCCUUAAUCCACUUCAAUCUCUGAAUAACCCUGAACAUGUGGCAACCAUGGACUGGCUUGUUCCAGUUUGACUGAACUAUGGGGAUAAAGUGCUCAGAAUCAACCCACAUAUUAUAAAACCUGAAAGGCUUUUUCUGGUGAACCACUCUGUAACAACUCAUGAUCAUUGGACAAUGAUCAAAUUCCUCUUCUGGCAAAUAAAUAGCCUCAACAGUAGUGAAGAUAUCUUCCCAUUGAGUGUUAGUUAGGACCCUAUCAAUCCUAGUAAAAACUCUAGCUGCACCAUCCUGCUUAUUUGUCCAAGUGAAAUGCCUCCCCAUCAUAGUUUUAAUUUCAGCAAGGUUGCAGGAAGACAUGCAUGAUCUCAUUGGUUGGAUUUUCCCCCAUCUAACAGGAGAGCCCACCCUAUCUUUAAUAGCCAUGAUGGCAUUGAAAUCACCCAUGAUCACCCAGGCAAUGGACAUUGAGGUAGCAAUGUGAGAUAGAUCCUUCCAUAAAACCUCCUUUUCUUUCUUAUCAGUGUGCCCAUAAAUGAAGCUGCACCAGAAAGUGUGACCAGUAGGUUUGGAGGUAACAAGACAAUGCACCAUUUGAGAGCUCAUGAAUCUGACAUCAACACCAAAAGAAACAGGAUCCCAUCCUACCACUAUUCUCCCAUUUUUAUGCUGACUUAGGUUGGUAGUAAAACACCACCCUGGACACACUUUAAGGUAUAGAUCCCCCAGUUUAGGAGUUCUAACCUUAGUUUCAAGGAGACUGAACAGUUUUGCUUGAUGAGAAAGAAUGAACUUCCUCACCCUUAGUUGUUUAUCCCUCCUGUUCAGUCCUCUCACAUUCCAACAAAGAAUGUUAUCCAUUAGGUACAGGGGAUCUCACCCCCUGACCUAAUGCAUCCCCAUUUUCUCUCAUCACAAUAUCAUCUGACACCACCUCAUCUAGGUUAUCCAAUCCAUGAAGAACAAUGAAGCUGUUCCUAGUUUGAACUGGUCUUAACUCAUGGCAUCUUUGCCUACUGAAUCCUGUAGCUUGAAUGAAUCCCUCAUCCUGUGCCUCAAGAACAGGUGUUUGUAGCAAUUGUUGGUGGAGCAACCUGUUGUUUUGGAACCCAUUCCCUUCUAACCACUGGCUUCUUUGUGUUAGCUACACAUUUAUCAGCUGGGUGACCCAUGCCCUUGCACUUGGUACAAGUAAUGGGAAGCCAGUCAUAGACUACUUGUUGAUCAAGCAGGAUACCCUUCUCAUUCAUGAACGGAAUGUUGGUGGGGAAGGUUUGAGCAAUCUCAACCUCAACCAGGACUCUAGCAAACAUCAACUUGUCCCUUUUCAAAGUGGCUUGGUCAACUUUGAUCACUGAUCCCACCAGGCUAGCAAUCUUGUUUAGACUCUUCUCUCCCUAAUAUUUUACCUCCAAACCAGGCAGUUUGAUCCAGAUUGGGAUAGUUUUCACUGUUUCUUUGGUCAAAGCCAUAUCAUGUGACCAUUGCUUAAUGAUCAGAGGCUUAGAGUCAAAGAAUUGAGCAGUACCCUGAAGCACUUUAGCACAAUUCUCCAUGGUGGUGAAACGAACUAGAAAAAUCCCUUUCCCAACCAGAGAAACCUUGUCAACACCCAAUUUCCCCCAAAUUCUAUGAAAAAAACCCUCCAUCACAUAUUGGGGUGGGUUCGCACCUAACACAUAGCAUACAACAGCAGAUUGCCAAAAACUAACUUCCUCUGCUAUAUCAUCAUCAUCAUCAAUACAAACAGGGGGGUUUAUCAUCUAGAUUAUCACAAUCAAUCACAAAAGGCAUGGUGGUAUUGUCAUUAUUAUGAGGCAAAUUGCACAUAUUAAUUGUCGAGUUCAUCACAUUAUCAUUCCCGCCAGUUUUCGAUUGAAAAUGGGUUCGAACAUCAGUACCUGAAUUGAGGCCAUUAAUCCAGGCAUUAAAGUCAUCACGAACUUGAGAUUGGUGUUGCAAAUCUCUCAGUGCAGUCUUUGGAGUGAGAAUCGGGUUCUCCUGAGAGUAAUCAAUUUCUGGGUGCUCAUCGUCACUUUUCUUAUUUUUUUCAGAACCGCCAUUGUUGCUCAUUAUUGCUGAGCUUAUUUGUUCCUUUGCAUUUGCACGAGUAUUAGGUCGGUUCGAGGAAGCUUGCACAGAUUGCUUCCCCUUCUGGUUCUGUGAAUUGCGAUUGCGAGGUCUUGCCAUGGCGUCGAAGACGAGGGAGAGGUUCCUGCUUCGAACCCUCUCAAACGCAAUUCCAAAUACGGUUUUGUUGAUUUUAGGACAACGAAGAUGAAAAGAUUUGAGAGAAAGUGGUGUGUGCAAUGCUGCAGGAACAGCUCAACAUGAUGUUAAAGGAUAUGGAGGAACAUUCUAAUCAUCUUGCAAGAAACGCCGAGUACAUUGUUCAAAGUGUGAAAAUUAUUUCCCAGGGCAUCAAAACAGACAUUUGUAAAGCUAUUUUCUGUACAUUUGAUGAAUGAGAUGUAUGGUAUACAUGCCAUUGUAGAGCUUAGGUUUUUAGGUGUCUAUAAUUUUGUAUUCUUAUGAAUCUUGAAAAUCAUAUUUAUAAAAGAUAGGACAUAUCCAUGA